AGGGGAUAGGUUCCGGUUCUGCCCCGCCGCUAAAACUGAAGUUAGUCGCCUCUCUCCCUAGGUGAGGCAAGAUCUCAACCACUGAGGGAAUCUCCUCAUCCUCGCCGCAUACGCCCCUCUGGUGGCAUGAACAGAACUCUCUGGUACCGGAUUAGUGGUAGGAAGAUUGUCGCGAGAAGAUUCACCAGCCAUUUUUUUAGCAGAAAACGCGCCAAAGAAGUAAUAAGAAGAAGAGAUGAAAGAUUUCAGUGGGCAAGAAGGUAAGCAGAAAUUCGAGGUAUCAGAAAAAGCUAUAUCUGAAGAACUCUCUCAAGCAAAAAAUGAAGUGAAUUAGUCAAGUGACAAGUUUCCUCUAUUUAUAAGAGACAUAAAUUCCCCGAGCAUGAAACCCAAGAGUCGCCAUUCGAAUAUGAUAAGUCACGAAAUGUUUUAGUCUCCAAUAAAUGUGUGUCAUAAUGGUGGUAACCACGAACCAACACUCCAGUGCCAACCGACGUUUCGAUUCCAAAACCGCCGCAACGGUCCACGAGGAUCGAAAGAACACCACCACUCCGCUAAAAACCCAUAGAAUGCGGUUAAGGAACGGAAAGUUGUAGGCCAGAUUUCUCUCGAUUUCGUAACGAACAUGAUCUGUCUACCGAAGUCCGACAUAGGACGACCCCGACAGACGGAGGGACUAACUGUAUUGGCCAAAAUCUGACCACCACGACCAGGUUGCCCGACACCCCGCCUUAGUAACUGGGCAGUGAAAGUCAAUAGAGCCCACUCCAUUUCUCCUCUGCGCCAUUCGACGAAUCGAAAAGAGUAACGCCUAAAAUCACGACCAGGACAUCUUAGCGACAAGAAAGUGUCGGGUCAAGCAAAUGGUAAAAGGGCCUCGACUAUAUAUAGCCAAAGAAAGCUCUCAAUUCGGGGGAAAAGGCUUCUCUAUUCUCUUGAAAAAAGGAUGACAAAAAACUCCUUCCUUAUAUCUUCAAGAAAAUGAGAAAAUGACCUCGAAGAAUAUAUGUAAAUUUACUUCCUCAUCAGUUGAUGAGAAAGAAAAUAUUGAAUCUAAAUAAGAUCAAUCAUGCCUCUUUCGUACCAUAUGUAAUCAUUAUUGUUAACUUUUCGAUCCGGAUUUAAUUAUGUUUGACUAAGAUUUACCCCUUAAUCUUUGAUUGAUUUAUCCAAAAAGGUUUUAGUAUCUUUUGAGUCAAACAUUUAGCUUAUAUACAUCGCUAAUAUAAAUAAAGUUUUACUAUUUUUACCAAGUUACUAAUCAUGUUUAUUAUAUGGAGUUUUAUUUGCAAUUAUAGUAAUGUGAUUUUCUCAUCUUAUUCUACAGUCUUUCCUGUAGCCAAUCUGACUUUUGGUGCAACUUUAACUUUUCUUUUUCCAACUUGAGCUAAUGCAUUGAUUGAAAGAAAAAGGACAGAGGAGUGAACAGUGAACUUAGUUUAUUCAUGAUUUGAAACUAUUUUGCUUUUAUUAAAAUGCUAAAUGAUGAUUUCCAUUCCAGCCUUUUACCGUAACAAUAAGUAAUUUUUCAUAACAAGUUUAAUAUGAUAUCCUGGAACAUAGAGUAAUAGUAUGUUACAAGAUAAAUAAAAGAUUAUUUACGCGGUCAUAUAUAUAAUUUAAAUCCAACUCUUAUUAAGUGUGACUCAGACUUUCACUCCAGUGCAUGCCAGCCCAGACAUUCAUUGAGUGGGAAUCAAAGUAGACUUCCUUUUCAUCAGAAGUGGCCAAAAAUAUGGUCCCAGUGUAUUCAAGAUUGCCCCAUCCUUAAGAUCCAAGGAUUCCAACUUUUGUACUACCCUUAUGUUUUGUCAACAAUUUUGUUCGUAGUCUGCAACUAACUUCUUGGGCACAAUUAGUCCGAAUAUAUUUUUAACAUGAUUGAAUUGGUCCGAAUAUAUUUUUAACAUGAUUGAAUUGGUCCGAAAAUAUUUUUAACAUGAUGUGAUAUUGUUUGUUUUACGUUAAAUUCAUACGAUUUUUUUCAAAAGCUCUUACAUUAUUAAGAGAUCUCUACACUUUAUAUGUAGGGGUAUUUUCAUAUAUACUUAUUUUUGAGGCCACCAUUAAAGUUAUAUACACAUUGCACUAAAUUUUGUAAAGUGUAUCUGUCUAAAGUAGUUCAACCUAUUCAAUGCAAUUUCAGAAAUCAAAUAUGAAGUUCUUCUAUCUUUCAAAUGUAACUUCAGAAAUUCCAAUCUUAAGUAGGUCAAUAUCUUCAAUGCAACUUUAGAUUUCAAAUUUAAAGUUCUUCUAUCUUUCAAAUACAACUUCAGAGAUUUGAAUCUUAAGUAGCUCAAUUUCUUCAAUGCAGCUUCAGAUUUCGAAACUUAAGUUCCGAAACAUAAACUUGUUCUUUGAAUUUUAACAACCCUCAUACGCCUAAAUCUACUUCAAAUGAGCUCAAAUUUGGAUAAAUUUUAAAUAUCAUAAAGAACAAAUUCAGUCAUCAAAUUAUCAAAACAACAACAAAUUUAACAAAUAAGAAAAAAAAGAAGAAGAAACCCUAAGCACAAAGAAGAAGAAAGCAGCAACGAAGAAGAAGAGAAGCGUGUAUGUAUUUGAAGUUAUCCGAAAAUCGGGUAUUAGUUACUUUUUUUUUAAAAUAGUUACAAAUUUAAUGGGUGGCGCAAAACUGGACGCCACAUAUUUUACUUGUAUGCAGUCUCAUAUUUUCUUUAGCUACCAGUGUGGGACUUUGAUCGCACACCCGGUAAUUCCCUUUUUGAACUAAGUCCAUGUGGCCAACUACCACGAUGCCUCUCCCUCGCACUAAGUUUCACGUGAUCCAUUACCAUGAUCCACGGGUCAAUUUUUGAGAUUUUAUUUGCCACCCACAUCGUUAGAAUAUUUAUGCAACCAAAGCCCCCAACCAACUUUUUUUUGUCUGUGUGUAUCUCUAAGCUCGUAAGGAGAAGUAAACUAGGCCACACAUCAUCACUCUGCGAUCUUCAUACUCAUCUCGUCGAACCUGGGCUCUGAUACCUGUUGUUGGACUAAAGGUACUUGUAAUAUGGUAUGAUAUUGUCCACUUUAGAUCAAGCCCGCACAAAUUUUCGCAAUGAUCUUCAUACCAUUAAGAGAUUCAUACACCUUAUAUGCAAAUUUCUAUUGUUUUAAGCUAUUAAUGGAGGACUUUGUUCGCCGAUCCACUAAUCGCCUCCUCGAACUAAGUUUCACGCGAUUUAGCACUACUAUCCACGAGUCUUUCCCUCGAACCAAGUUCUAUGUGGCCUAUCACCACUAUUCACGGGUCAAUUUCUGAAUCAUUGUGUGUCACUCACAUUGUUAGAGUAUUUUACGGCAAUCAAAGCCUCUAAUUAGCUUUUUCUUGUGUGCGCGUUUCCUAGCUCAUAAGGGUAAACAACCCGAGCCCAACACCAUCACCCAUCCAUCACCAUACUUGUCCCAUCGAACUUGGACUCAAAUUUUGUUGGGAUAAACCAGCCCGAAAAUACUCUUAACAUGAUUGAUACUGUCCACUUUAGGCCAAGGUUGUUCAGUUUUCUCUAAAAGGUCACACGCCCAACAGAACUAAUAAGUGUCUAAAUGAGUUAUUUUCUGACAAUUCAAAUUUGUAAUUCUCAAAAUAAUAUUUCUUUAUGUGCGGAACGUGUACAAUGGUGUAUCUAGACUGGACGCAGUGGAUCGACAAAGCUGAUCGAGUCUACAAUACAUACAUACAUAUACAUACGUGAAAAUUGAAACGUAUCUAAUAAAAUAUAAUCCACUAACUCUAAAUGCUGGAUCAACCAUUCAAUGUAUAGGAUCAUUACAUAUGGUGAAAACAUAGAAUGCCCCACGUCACGUUCUUUUGCUUCUCUAUGAACCUAUAGCUAGAAAUCUUCAUUAUUGAAAGUGAUUGAAAUAGAAUCCUUGGCCGAAUUAUUGCAGCAUUCUUUUGACAAAAAUAAAAACUGAAUAGGAAAGAUGGCAAAAAGGAAGGCUUUACUAAAGCACAACAUUUUUUAUACACAACAUAGUGGACUAAUUUAAUCUUAACUACUAGUGCUACUCCUUUGAGAGAGAGAGAGAAUGAAGUUCUUGUUCCAGGGUCCAUGUUGUUCUUGUUUCUGCUUCAUGAAGCCACAGAAAGGCAAACCAAAAGCUAAAGUGGAAGAAGCCAAACCUAAAGAUAAGAAGGUGGAAGAAGCUAAAGCUAAGGAUAAGAAGGUGGAAGAAGCCAAACCUAAAGAAAAGAAGGCGGAAGAAGCCAAACCAAAAGAGAAGGAAGAAAGCAAACCAGAAUAAUGAUAGUAGAGGCAAUGGCAAAUGCAGCUAUAUUAUUCUAGUACAAGUAUUGUUCUUCAUUUACUUUACUGCUUGUUUAUGGUGUUUUCCAAUUUCCAUCCAUAUGGUGUGCAAUCUUUAACACUUUCUUUGGAAAACGCUAGUACUAUUUCUCCUCCUAAUGUAUUUUUAUAAGAAAAUAAUUUCACUUUAUUUACUCUGAAAGGCAAAAGUAAUACUUCUGUUGCUCGAAUUCUUAAAAAAUUGUCACUUCUAAAAAAUGCAUAACUUUUGCAAGAUCCUACACAUGCGACAAAUUUUUUGAAGGAUAUACUAAGUUAGUAGCUAUUUCAGUUUUAAUUAGGAUAGAUAAUAUGAAGAUUGACUAGGGGGCAUAUUCUAUAUAUUCAUAGUGUGUUUUAUUGAAAAUUCGGACUUUUAAGUUCCUCUUCAGUCAGUAGAAUAUAUGUUUGUAGUCUUUUAAAAAGUUAAUUAGAUAAGAUCUGAGAACAUAUAAUCCUUUAUCACUUUAUGUGGAUCUUGGAGUGUAUGAUAUAUAAUCUGAAUUCCUAUUCAUUGAUAGUCUAUUUCCUUUUUUGGGUCUGUGUAAAUAAAACCAAUUCACUUUUCCCUUUAGUCUCCCUCCUCUUACGGAGACUACAGAACGUUCUUGUGAAUUAUAGCCAAUGCUGAGUAUAUAAGUUGUGAUAUCAAAUCCAGAGGUUAAUCUUACUCUGCCAAUUCUAGGUAAGGUAGGACAGCAAUAGGAUGACAUUUUUACGAUCUCUUUAUGACCACUUCUCAUCCUGCUCCUCCUCCUUGAUAGCUACGCAUUUUAACUCACUGAUAAAAA
rnacentral:lncRNA from 1 species